GUUAUUGCAUAAUUAGGAAAUGGACAUUACAUGACCAUGACACUGCAGCAAGUCUUGCACAUCCAGGAUGAUGAACUAAGCACCGGUUUUGCCAAGAGGAUCUACCCCAGAGGAGCAGAGGGAGGCCCCAGAUGGAGUGCCCACAGCCAAAAGGCAGGAACACCAGAGAACCAGGAGCAGGAGGCAGCAGACUCCAGCCGAAGUCGGCCUCCCAGCACGAGCUGAGAACAGGGCCACAGGACCCUAGGUGCCCAAGAACUGCCUGACACCUGGCGGGAACCCCAGCAUGCAACAAAGAGGUCAAACCACUUCAGACCACAGGCCUGAGGGCCAGCAAGUACCCACAUCCAACAACCAGUGGAGAUGGAAACCUCCCCACACUCAAGAAGAGUGUCCCACAGGGACCAAGGCCUAGUGCCGUAGUUGAAGAGACAUUGUGCAUUUCUACUUCUACUCUAUCCUUUUACUGCCUGUCCUGCCUUAGACAUGGUCAUACUGUGUACUACGUAUAAUGACUGAAAUAACACAGAUAGAAAUGACAAAAUAAUCAGAUAAGCCCUGAACAAGAGGAGCCUGUAGAGAAUCUAAGGAGCUGUUCUUGGCAAAACAAAAUGUGUUUGGCACAACAGUGGAUCCAGAUCAUUCCACCCCCAAUCAAAGGACUUCCUCUCUACACAGACUACACAAACAACCAUCACUACUCUGUAAGAGUGAAUUUACGUGCAAUCACCUACACUGUAAAUAUAUAACAAUAUUGUUUUAUAUGUAUACAUUUGAUAUUGAAGCUGUUCAGAUGUUUAUGGUGCCACAGAACUGUGCACCUUACCCCCGUUUUUUCCACAGUUGCUCUGAAUUUCAUUGUACGUGUGUAGUGACAAUAAAAAGCAUUCAGAUCUAUAAUUCUGAUUGCAAAAGCUGUCAUAUAGGACAGGAUUAAAAAGCAAACAAACAAACAAAAAGAAACAGCGUGAGACGCCCAUGACACUUUUAGUCAUUUUGAAGGUAUUAAAGCAUAUUUGUGACCACAAGCUUUGAUCUGUAGAUAUUUCUAAGUUCAGCUGAUCGGGAUUAAAUCUUUCCUGCAUAAAAGAUUUAAAAUGUCGA